rnacentral:rRNA from 1 species
CUACGGGGGGCAGCAGUGGGGAAUAUUGCACAAUGGGCGCAAGCCUGAUGCAGCCAUGCCGCGUGUAUGAAGAAGGCCUUCGGGUUGUAAAGUACUUUCAGCGGGGAGGAAGGGAGUAAAGUUAAUACCUUUGCUCAUUGACGUUACCCGCAGAAGAAGCACCGGCUAACUCCGUGCCAGCAGCCGCGGUAAUACGGAGGGUGCAAGCGUUAAGCGGAAUUACUGGGCGUAAAGCGCACGCAGGCGGUUUGUUAAGUCAGAUGUGAAAUCCCCGGGCUCAACCUGGGAACUGCAUCUGAUACUGGCAAGCUUGAGUCUCGUAGAGGGAGGUAGAAUUCCUGGUGUAGCGGUGAAAUGCGUAGAGAUCUGGAGGAAUACCGGUGGCGAAGGCGGCCCCCUGGACGAAGACUGACGCUCAGGUGCGAAAGCGUGGGGAGCAAACAGGAUUAGAUACCCUAGUAGUC